AUUGAACGCUGGCGGCAGGCCUAACACAUGCAAGUCGAGCGGAUGAAGGGAGCUUGCUCCUGGAUUCAGCGGCGGACGGGUGAGUAAUGCCUAGGAAUCUGCCUGGUAGUGGGGGAUAACGUCCGGAAACGGGCGCUAAUACCGCAUACGUCCUGAGGGAGAAAGUGGGGGAUCUUCGGACCUCACGCUAUCAGAUGAGCCUAGGUCAGAUUAGCUAGUUGGUGGGGUAAAGGCCUACCAAGGCGACGAUCCGUAACUGGUCUGAGAGGAUGAUCAGUCACACUGGAACUGAGACACGGUCGAGACUCCUACGAGAGGCAGCAGUGGGGAAUAUUGGACGAUGGACGAAAGCCUGAUCCAGCCAUGCCGCGUGUGCGAAGAAGGUCUUCGGAUUGUAAAACACUUUGGGUUGGGAGGAAGGGCAGUAAGUUAAUACCUUGCUGUUUUGACGUUACCAACAGAAUAAGCACCGGCUAACUUCGUG
rnacentral:rRNA from 1 species